UUUUUUUUCUUUCUCCUUAUCUUCUCCACCGCCUAACUCCCUCAACCUUAUCCCCUAUACACAGCACCUCAGCUCCCUCACGCAGCACUCCCUGCUCUCCCACGCGUCGCUCUCUCUCGCUGGACGUCAUCUCCCAGCCGAUCCCUCCCAUGGCUGCCUCUCCUCCAUCUCCCUCCCUCCCUGUGUGGUGUCCAGCCGAUGCUCUCUCCCAUGGACGCCCUCCCCCUCUUGCAGCAAGUCAGCAACCCCAUCUCCUCUGCCCUCCAUCCCCAGCUCGCCCCUCAACCAUGGAUACUGCCAGCCCUGGCACUCGCCCUCUGCACGCCAUUGCUCUCCUUCCUGCAGCAAGCCCCAUCUCUACUGGCGCUCUAAUUUUCAGUCAUCCCGCAUGGCCGGCGUCCUCCCCAUUUUCUACAGGUACGUUAAUUAAUCACGUGAUGUGGAGAAUAAGAGAUGGGUUGAUCACAAGAUGAUGCUAAUGGACGAAGCUAAAGAUGAUAAAUCAACCAAGUGCCAGGAUGGGAGGUGCUCGCCAAGCGAGUAUCAUCUAACAACACUGACGUAGUGUUUAUUCUAGGCAAGCCCCGGUGCAUUUACCCCUUCCUUGUAUUUUUAAAAAGACUUUUAUACACUUAAGUCUAAUGAAAUGUGCAUUAAGUUUUAGGAAUUG